UAUAGCUCAGUGGUAGAGC
rnacentral:ncRNA from 2 species